UGCUGGCCUCUCAUUGCAUCUCUCCACUCCCACCUUGCCAGCUAUCAGUCACCAUCCACCUCUCAGCUGUGACUUCUGCCCAUCAGUCUCAAAUGAUUUCGACUCCUAGUGAUUUCAAUCUUAGCAAACAGGGAAAGGAGAGGGAAUUCCAGAAGAUGAUUGAAGAACCAGGAAAAGAAAGUAUUUUGCUGGAGCUGUACUGAAUGGGCUGAAAUGUGGAGAGCCAGAAAAGUAACCCCAGAGGGAGGACUCCAGUUACUGCAACAACAACAACAAAAAAGCUACUCGCACAUUCCAAGACCAAGUUUAUCAUCAUCUCAUCAGGGAGGAUGGCAUGGGAGGUGUCAACCUCUCCCCUCUUGCAGCUGGUCCAGCUGUGGAGAACAAAGAGGAUGGCAAUUGUCCCUGGAGACAUUGUGCAUGAAGCCUAGCCCUCAUCUCUGAGCCAAGACCUAAAGUUCUCAGGGAAAGCGCCAGGCAGUGGGAUCCAGCGGCACAGCCCGGGUCACGGACUGCACUUCUGCUUGAAGCCUGCCUAGCAGACAUGGUGUCACCGGUCACAGUGGUGAAGAGUGAAGGCCCCAAGCUGGUGCCCUUUUUUAAAGCCACUUGUGUCUAUUUUGUCCUCUGGCUGCCAACUUCCAGCCCUUCCUGGUUCAGUGCCCUCAUCAAGUGUCUGCCCAUCUUCUGCUUAUGGGUUUUUCUGCUGGCUCAUGGAAUCAAUUUCUUAGUCGCACAUCGGAGCGCCAGUAGGAUCUUAGCAGGGUUAAUAUUCUCCGCAGUGGGGGAUGCCUUCCUCAUCUGGCAGGAGCAAGGCUACUUUGUUCAUGGUCUGCUGAUGUUUGCUAUCACACACAUCCUGUAUUCCUCAGCAUUUGGGAUGAAGCCUUUGGACCUGAAAGCCGGCUUGGUGAUGACCCUUGUCUCCAGCUUCUGCUACACCUUUCUGUACGCCUACCUCUCAGGCCCAUUCACCUACCUGGUAGCUGUCUACAUUGCUUUGAUCGGCUUCAUGGGGUGGCGCGCCAUUGCUGGCGUACAGCUGUGCAACGACCUCUGGACUUGGACCAAGCUUUCGGCCUGUAUCGGCGCAGUGCUUUUCAUGGUGUCCGAUCUGACCAUUGCAGUUAACAAGUUCUGCUUUCCAGUGCCCUACUCACGCGCCAUUAUCAUGGCCACUUACUAUGCAGCCCAGAUGCUCAUUGCACUCUCUGCCGUGGAGAGCAGGGAUGAAGACGACUUCAGAAAGAGGAAUUAGAUGGAAUGCCAGCAGCCUUGUGAACUGCGCGGAUUAUAACUGGGGUGCUGUAGCAGCAUUAGUCGCUGAGGGGGAUUCUCCGUCUCUCAAGGUGCAUUGGUGAUAGAGAUUUUGCUUCGUUGAAGCAUUCUUUGUUUUUGUUUUUAAAUCUGACUCUCCUUGAAUGUAGUUUACGUCAGUGUGGAGACCACAUUGGAAAAUUUAGACUGAACCUACAGUAGCUUUGACCUUUUCCUCUUGGAAGCUUCAGGAGUCCUCUCUAAUGCCACAUUGUAUUUUUUAAUCCUGAAGCUGGCUCUGAAUGUUAUGGAAGGAGAAGGCUAAUUUAAAGAGACUAAAUAGGCUCAGAGGCUUGCCUUCUACCCUGGACACCCCUGUCCACAUCCCAGCUAAGGCUGACAGGGAGGGGACAGUGAGUUUAGGUGGUGAUUACACUAGACCCCAUUUACGGACAUUACAAAGCCACUACACAGGGCGAAGCAGUCAACAGCCUCUGCUCAAAGAAAGACAAUGAGUAGCAUGCCAAGAGGAUAGGUCAUGCAGGUGAGGGCUAAGGGACAUUAGUAAGAAUUUGGUGGCAUGAAAAACUUGUACUGUAUCUGGUUCUUCUAACCAGGGCUUUUUUUUGUGAAUUCCAAAAUUCAUGCAACUUCCUAUUUAAAUGUCCCAUGUGAAUGCUGCCAAGUAGGUACAAUAGUAGGCGACACACUUGCAGCAGCAACAAUAGAAUGUAAUAACCUUCUGAAACAGUCGAGAAAAUGGAAAAUGAAAGGCAUUCUCUACACAGGAUGGCUUAUGAGGAAAAGAAAUAUGCCUGUAAGUUAAAGCUAAUGAGCAGGUUUCGCAUGCAACUUUCAGCAUUUGCUAUCUUGGCCUAAGGUACUCACGUGGCGGUGUGCUAAGACAGAUGAUGGAACAAUGGGUCUGUCUUUCAACAUCAGACCUCACCCCCUUGUCACCGGUAGCUUCUCUGCUGAAUUAAUGAGCCUCCUGUGUUUUAUCUGUAGGUGCUGAGAGCUCUUGAAUCAGUGACAAUGCUGGGGCCAACCCCAAGGGAUGCCAAACCAAAAGCAAAGUAUUAAAACACAAAGCAUCUAUAGCAAUGCACACUGGGAUAUGGCAUUCUGUGACCACUGUGAAAUUACUCCAGACCCAAGUUCAUAGAUGACUCAUUAGUGUUAAUAGGCAAUUGUUAUUACUGUGAGCAUGGCAUAUUUUCAGGGAAACCUAUUUAUUCAGUAAGGCCAGUAAGCUUCUCUAUAUUGGCGUAUGUCUACAUACUUGACUCUAUACAUACAUGUACAGUAGUAUGUCAUCUGUAGCCACCAUAGGCAACCUGAGCCAGGAUAUGCUGUGUUUUACACCACUGCUUUGGAGAGAUGAUUCCUUAGUGGAAUGAAGUUUAUUUUUCUGGGUUCACAUUCUGUCCGCAUUCUGGGAAGUGGGAGACUGGAAUCUGACACUUUAAGCAUUUAUUGCUCAGCAUUUUCAGCUGCAAAUAAGGGAGAAUACUCCAAUAAUGUUUAAUACACCUCUUGCACCGGGUACCGAUUUCGUCUGUUUGCAGGGCUGUGAUGCGGAUGAUGAUAGCAAAGGGUUCAGUAGGGGUUUAAUAGUCACUUUGACAGUCAGGAGUUACGGUCAUCUGAGACAAGACACCGAAAAGGUACUGCUCCUGUUGUGCGCUGGAGGACUCUGAGGGAGUUGAAGGAUGCCUGGGGUGUCCCAGGCCCAGGCUGUUACAGAGCAUCACCUUGCUCUCCCUUCUGUGUUCCUCUCCACAUCUCUUUAAACCACAGCACGUGAACACAACCCUUUUCCAAGCAAGCAAAAGUCUCUCAGGGACGAAGCCAGCUGCUAUGGCGGAGUUUCAUCUUGAAAUACAGGUUCCACAGCAACACUGUGCUACUUCAGUUUAACUCCAGUGUAACAUCUGUUGGUCGACCAGAUUUUCAGCUAGUGUAAAUUGUUGAAGUUUUGUCCAACAGAGCUGCGCCACUGAGCUCCAGCUGAGGAGGUCCAGCUGAGGAUUUGGUCCCGUAGCUUUGCCACAUUUGAUGCAGUAAAAUAGCCAGCUUGGCUUCAUUAAUAUCAACCAUCCUAUUUUAAUCACCCCUGGGACAACUUUUUUUUUUUUUUUUUGGUACAAUGCAGCCCCAAUUUGCAGUGAUCUUUUGUAGACUUAAAGCAUGCAGAUCCCAUUUAAUUCCAGAGGACUACACAGAUGCUUUAAAAGUUAAGCACAUAUAGAACGCUGCAGGAUAAAGGCCCUACAGUCUCCCAACAUAACCCAAGUGAAAAGUCCCGCCAGUUUGUGAAAAAUAACACAAAGCUCUUCUUCAAAUCUCUUUAUAAGCAAAAGAAAUCCUAUUAGUACCCCCAACAUCUUCCCUCCACUGUCACGCAGGAAUAUUGCUGCAUUAUUUCUAAAGUAGCUGUCAGACCCUUUAGCAUCAGGAGAAGGCACCAGGACUUUUCAUUUGCAAACUAUUUGUUUUAAAUAUUUCCUGCCUUGCUGGGAUAGUAUGUCCCAUUUUAGCCAAGUUCCCCUCUCCCUCACUAGCACACUCCAGGUGACAUAUGGAAUGUAAAAUACUCUACAUCUGCAGUGAAAGUUGGAGCACAUGACUAGUCAGCAGUGUGAUUAUCUCGCAACAGUUUCCUGGAAAGAUUAAUGCUAAACUGGAAGAAUAGGCACAAAAUCAAUUCAGGCAGUGUAUAGGUAAUAUAAUUCUUAAUCUGGCUUUAACCAUACCACCAGAAGCAGCAGGUAGCUUCAUAUAAUGAGAUUAACAUGCCAGUGACUGAACCCAUCAUGUUUAUUAAUUUUUAGGGCUUGAUCACACGCACACAGAAGCCUACACAUGAAUCGUUUCAUUGAAAUCUGUGGGGCUCUUCCCACAAAUAGAGUUAUACAUGGAUUAUGCUAGUUACAGAAACAGGCCUUCAGAUAAUAAUCUUUCAUUGAGUCCCAUUUAUCAGCUCAAGAGUGAUAAUGGAGCGAAAUGAAGCCUUUCCACCAUUUUCUAUCGUGUGUCAGCUUCACGGCUGCGUUAAUCUUUAAACCUUUGUGUUGUGCCUCAAUAAAUAUUGUUUGUUUAAUGCUACCUAACAAAAAGGUUAGAUAGUAAUAAACAAACAAUUUCAUAUGCUAGAUCUACACAGCAGCAUUAUUUCCAAAAUCACGUAGUGAGCGUCUACACAACAAGCUGCCUGAGGCUAUCUGAUGUGUGUGCAUAAAGGGACCCCCCUGUACAGUCGUGUCGGGCGCCUCUCUUUUGCCUGCCUCCCUGAGGGACAGCAAAGCUGUUCCACUGCCUGCUCUGGUUGCCCUUGCAGACACCACAGCACGUCUGCCAUGGAGCCAGAGCUCUCCUGGCACAGAAGAAUCUGGACCUGCAGCUCCCUGCAGGGCACCUCCUUUCCUCUCCCCAGGUGCUGCUCAUGCAGCAGUUCCUCCAGCCCGCCCCUGCACACUGUACGCCACCAAUUCUGGCGACUGGAUACCAGUUCUGACUGGUGGGACCAGAUUGUCAUGGCCCGGUGGCUCCCGAACUUCCGCAUGCAGCAGGCCACCUUCUUGGAGCAUCGAGGGAGGGAGGAGGCAGGGCAUGCUGCACCACCCCACGUAGCCCAGCCUCCUCUUUCCCCCGGUGCUCAAGAGGGUGGGCUGGGCUUGGCUGGGUCACGCUGGGCACCUUCCAUCGGGGCUGGAGAGGCUGCAGCAAGCACGCACCCGCUCUCCUGCCUGUGGUUGGAAGGGGGGAGCACAUGCAUUGCACACCACCCUGCCUCACAGGGAUGGGGAAAGGGCGGGGCCUAGCAGAAGGGGCAGGGCUGGAGGUGGGGUUAGGGGCUUGCCUCCCCCAGCCCUGCCUUCAUCAACCAUCUAUGACAGGACACUCACAUGCGACCUGCCAUCCCACUCCAGAAGUGGGUCACCAUUGCACUGUGGAAGCUCGCCAUGCCGGACAGCUACCGCUCCAUCAG